rnacentral:rRNA from 1 species
GAUGAACGCUGGCGGCGUGCCUAAUACAUGCAAGUCGAGCGAGUGGAUUAAGAGCUUGCUCUUAUGAAGUUAGCGGCGGACGGGUGAGUAACACGUGGGUAACCUGCCCAUAAGACUGGGAUAACUCCGGGAAACCGGGGAUAAUACCGGAUAACAUUUUGAACCGCAUGGUUCGAAAUUGAAAGGCGGCUUCGGCUGUCACUUAUGGAUGGACCCGCGUCGCAUUAGCUAGUUGGUGAGGUAACGGCUCACCAAGGCAACGAUGCGUAGCCGACCUGAGAGGGUGAUCGGCCACACUGGGACUGAGACACGGCCCAGACUCCUACGGGAGGAAGCAGUAGGGAAUCUUCCGCAAUGGACGAAAGUCUGACGGAGCAACGCCGCGUGAGUGAUGAAGGCUUUCGGGUCGUAAAACUCUGUUGUUAGGGAAGAACAAGUGCUAGUUGAAUAAGCUGGCACCUUGACGGUACCUAACCAGAAAGCCACGGCUAACUACGUGCCAGCCGCCGCGGUAA